UAACACCAUGAUCUCGGUGUAUGG
rnacentral:siRNA from 1 species